rnacentral:piRNA from 1 species
UGAGUAUUGGCCGAGGCCUGUCUGUC